GGUCUGACUGCGUCUUUGAUAUUGUUUGAUGUGGUAUAAGAGGGAAGCCAAUAACUGUUGAAGAAUGUACAUCAUCCAGAAUGAGAGAGCUCAGGUUCAGUGCAAAGCUUUUCAUUUUGGGCUGGAACAUCUGUCACCCCAGAUACUCUGUUAGGCCGAGAGCACUAAAUAGAUAAAUAAGCUACUUCUAUAUUCAAGAUUCUCACUAUCAAAAAAAGACAACAAGAGACGUCGUAGAAAGCAUGCAGAAGGAAAUGACUAAGGC